UUGUUCAUUCUCCUGUUUAUCUUAUGAUAAUACACUUCAGGCUGCUAGCAGAUGGCAGAGCCAUAAAGUUGAACAAUAAAUUUUUGCUGGCGUUCUGAGCUUAUUUUAUACAAUAAACUGUAGGUGAGGGAAUAGCAAAGUAAUAUCUGAUUACUGACACGUGGAAAUCACGUGAUGACGGACGUCAUGUGUUGCCCUGUAUUAUAAAGUCUCAAGCAAGCCAAAUAUUUAUUUAUUCUUUACAAACUUCUCUACACGUGUCCAACUGGGUGGCAACAAUGGCGACACCUGUACAGGUGGCAAAGCUGCUGUGCACAGUUCUGCUGAUGGUGGCGACGUGGGCGACAUGUCAGGCAGGAGAGGAUUGUGUUCCCUUCGAUCAUCCCUGCCAGGAAGGAAUGAAGUGCUGUGUAGGCGAGUGUACAGCAACUGAUGGAGGCUACAAAUGCUAUGGAGACCUAAAUUCAGGGCUCGUUGGAACUAUUCUUAUCAGUUAACAGCAAGAUGUCAGACUGGGAUGUCGACCUUCCAACCUGGUGCUCAGCCAUCUGUGACAUGGCGAUGACACCUCUUUCGAAUUACAUCUUUUUCGGAAAAAU